rnacentral:rRNA from 1 species
GAUGAACGCUGGCGGCGUGCCUAAUACAUGCAAGUCGAGCGAACAGACGAGGAGCUUGCUCCUCUGACGUUAGCGGCGGACGGGUGAGUAACACGUGGAUAACCUACCUAUAUGACUGGUAUAACUUCGGGAAACCGGCGCUAAUACCGGAUGAUAUAUUGAACCGCAGGGUUGAAUGGUGAAAGUCGGUUUUGCUGUCACUUAUAGAUGGAUCCGCGCCGCAUUAGCUAGUUGGUAAGGUAACGGCUUACCAAGGCAACGAUGCGUAGCCGACCUGAGAGGGUGAUCGGCCACACUGGAACUGAGACACGGUCCAGGCUCCUGCGGGAGGCAGCAGUAGGGAAUGUUCCGCAAUGGGCGAAAGCUUGACGGAGCGACGCCGCGUGAGUGAUGAAGGUCUUCGGAGCGUAAAACUCUGUUAUUAGGGAAGAACAAAUGUGUAAGUAAAUAUGCACGUCUUGACGGUACCUAAUCAGAAAGCCACGGCUAACUACGUG